rnacentral:rRNA from 1 species
ACGGGGGAUCACUCGACUCGUCCGUCGAUGAAGAGCGCGGCCAGCCGCGAGAACUGAUGCGAAUUGCAGGACUCAGUGAACAUCGACACCUCGAACGCACAUUGCGGCCUCGAGAUCC